CACAAGGCCCAGCUAAUCGUACCAAUUUGUUUGCAUCAUUUUACUUUUCUUCAGUGUCUGAGUUUUGUGUUUGGGGUGUCCUCAGUUUUUGAGACUUUCAAUGUGCAUGAUCAGAUCAUUUAUCUGGACGUGUGCUGUUCUUCUAAUGUAGGCAUUUUAUAAACUGCUCCCCAUUCCGGGGUAUCCAACCCAUUAGACAUUUCAGCACAGCUGAGGUCAGUGUCUCUAAGAUGCACAAAGUCAUGAAUUAUACACAGCACAGCUGACUUUGUCUGUGACAUGGGGAGGACACACACCACCAUGUGCCCACCAUCAUGCGACAGAUGACCACCAUGAGCUUUGUGGUUUGGUGAAGGCCACUGCUCAGUGCGCUUACAUUUCCUGUGCAGAACUGAAGGAGACACGGGUGGACAUGAUCCGUGACAAAGUGCUGUGCCCAGCAUUAUGGAGUCACGCAAGUAGUGAGUGUGACACAGAGCUGAGGCAACAAGCCCAGACUGUUGGGGCUUCUCGUGAAGCUCAGGUGCUGUCGGCUGUUCUGUUUAGACAGGCUUUUACAAAUGCUGCUGAUUUUUAGAAGUAAAUAUGCUCAGCAUAAAAUGAGCUCUUUCAGCUUUUUCUUUGGCUCAAACAGCAGUAUGCACCAUGCAGUGUUCUGAUGAUGAUGGUGACAAGAAUUGGAAGUGAGCUGCGGGACACCAUCAGCCACACAGGUGGGCGUGUCAACAGUAAUCCUGCACUCUGCAAUGCAGUGUAGUUCAUGAAGCACACGAGACAUUGAGUAUUUCAGUGUACCACAGUCAAAUUUUGCUGGGUGGUGAAUGCAUUUAAAACCUGCCCUUGGGACGGUGAGGACUCCAUGAAUUUGAGCCUGGCUUGGGCUGUAUGAUGUGACUUUGCCUCAAUAAAAAGCAAAAUACAUCAUUAAAGAAAUUUAUAAAACGUUGCCCCCCUGAUAGCUAAUGUAACUGUCCAAGCAAAAUUAACUCAGGGCAGGGUGAGGUAGACUGUUCCAGUAUUAGAGCUACUUACGCACUGUGUUUGUCACUGACUGUGACCUGUCCCUAAGAGAAUGCAGCCCCCUGGUAAAUGGAGCAGCUCCCGAAUUGAAUAUGAAUAUGGUUCAAUAACACAGGGAGUUCUAGAAUGCACUUCAGUACUAGCAAGUAAGAAGGCAAAAGGACAGCAAGGGUGCCAGACGGUCCCGGGGACAGCUGUGCAGUCUUACACAGUGUAGGUAACAUCACCGCCUUCAGCCGUCAGACAGUGGGAGCUAGUGACGGUGAGGAAAUCCACCAAACAUUCAGCUCUAAAGCUGAUAAAAGACUACGCAAAUGAAUCACAAAGGUUACUCAACUUCUAUUCCAAUAACUGAUUUUAGCUUUCCAGGGUAAAAACAAAUCAUCGUUUUCCAAAACAAAUGGUAUUUGCAGAUUAAUAAAAAAAAAAACCUACUUUGUUACAAAGAAUAGAAACCCAGUGGAAUGCUGACAGCCAACAGCAACACAGUGAAAAAUUCCUGACAGUGUUUUUGCUAAGAAGUCACACCAGCAUUCACAGCUUUUGAAAGGUAGAUUAUCACACUGCAUAGCCUUGCUGAGAUGGUUCUGCUGCUCUCCAGCAGGGGGGACUCACCGAAAUACAGAUUGUUUUUGGAAUGGCAGCUUAAAUAAUUACCUCCCUAAUACCGAAUGACAGUGUGAGCAUGAAAGGUAAAAUUUACUGACAAAAAACAUCCCGUAUUGUACACACGGGAUGGUAAUCGCUCAAGCACAUGUAUAGAAAUUAUCAGUAAUCAAAUUAUAAAGAAAAUAAGAUAUCAAAUUAACACAGUCUAACUAGAAUGGACUGUGUGCAACAAAGCCUGAAACACAAGCCACUGCAAAAAUGACAAUAAAAGGAAAUUCAAUUUUGGAGUCAGGUUACCUUGUAAUAAGUAAACACAAAAGGAAAGAAAAGCAAACAAAAGUGACCUAAAGUAUACUAAGCUUGCGAUCAUAUAAGAAAUAUAAGUCGCUCCACCUUUGGAUCUAAUGCAGUGUGAGCUAAACACAAUUUUUAUGUACUUUAUGAGACAAUAUUAAACACCUUUGCUACUGCAUAGAAGAUUCAGGAUUAUGUGAGCACAGCAUUUCUUGUUUGCAGUGUUGGUUUUGUUUUGAUUGAGACAGGGCUUUGCUCUGAAGCCCAGAGUGGCCUGGAACUCAUAAUGAUCCUCCUGCCUCAGCCACCCAAGUCCAGGCUGGCCUUGAGCUCAAUGCAAGUUUGGGAGCAGCCUGGACUACACAGUGAGCUCAAGGCCACACUGAACUGCAUAGCAACACUUUGUCUCAAAAAGACAAUAAGAUAAAAUAAAUUUUAAAAUGUCUCUGUCUGACUUAUUUAACAUAACAUUAUGGGCUCUAGAUUCAUUGCUAUUUUGGCAAAUACGUCAGUUCAUUCUUCUGUGGGUUAAUUCCACAAGUGCCCAGACCACGUGAUUUUCAGGGUUGGAAAGUAAGCCAGAGUUUGGGCACUGAUGUAACCCACAGGAGUUUCAGCUCCUCUUCUGUAACAGUCUCGUGAAUCAAUAAGGUGCCCAGCGUGAGAACACAGCGUGAGCUACACAGCAAGACCCUGUCACAAAAAAAAAAAAAAAAAAAACGAACAAAAAUCAUCUCAAAACAAGGACUAGCUGGGUAAGCACAACGCCUAGUUUCCCCUUUCUGUGGAAUCUCCGUAAACAUUUCCCUACGUGGUAUCACACGCAACAGGCCCACAUGUGACCUCGGGAGGUCCCUCCCGAUAUUUUACAUUGCAAAUGGCCUGUGAGUUUGGAGGACUGCUUGACAAAAUAGGUAAUGGAGACAGUUAUUCUUUUGGAAUUGUAAGACAUUCACAUUAGCGCUGUUUGAACCCCGAAAGUGUACAUCACACUGAGGUACCUAUGAUAUCGCAUCAUCUCUUUGCUAUUAAUGUGGUCUUUCAAAACAAGUAUCCAUAGUUAGAAAUCAGCUCUCAGUGUAUACACAAAAUGGUUUUAUACCCUCCUGGCCUCAGGGACUGAAUGUAAUUUCAGUCUGCACAUCUAUAAAUCUGCGCAUGGAAGAAAAUCAGAGAAAGACCAGGUCUCUGUCUGAGCUGGAGCCUGGCUUUGACCUCACUGUGUGUCCUCGGACAGCCUGGACGUGUGGGGACGUUGCUGCCUCAGACUAAGGACAGGUGCCAGCUCCUCCGGCUGUUUGAUCUUCUAGGUCACCAUGUCAGUUCUGGCACUGUGUGAGUCCCACAUACAUUUCACACUGGACUAUGUCAGUGUCAGAUGGAGACAGCCAACGUGGGUACGUGUGCUGCGCAAUUUUCAAAGAUUAACAUUGAAGCGUGGUCUGCUUUCUAUAGUUUCCAUAGGUUCAAUAGUGAGGAACGUUCCUCAAAAGUGAGGAACGUGUUUUUGAGUACAAAUUACCUUAGACAUCUCCUGUAGUUUCUGCGUUCAUAUUUGGUGGCAAUUUAAAAGCAGGAGUUGGAAGCCUGGCGUGGUGGCUCACACCUGUCAUCGCAGCACUCGGGAGGCUGAGGCGGGAGGAUCCUUGUGAGCUGCAGACCAGCCUGGGCUGCACAGUGAGCUCAAGGCCAGCCUGGACUGCACAGCGAGACCCUGUCUCAAAAAGCAAAAAAAAAAAAAAAAAAAAAAAAAAAGCACGAGUUUCGAACUGAUUAACCAUGUGUCCACAAUAUUAGGUGACGACCUCUUACACUGGCCACGGUUCAGGUGGCUCAUUUUACCUCAGUUGAACACAGCUCUGGGUGCCUGGUUCAAAACGCUACCAACAACCAAAAAGCUGAUCUUUUAUUUUGCUUUUAUCGCAAUGGCAGCAAGGUGGAAAAACUUCUCCAUGUUUAGCCCUUUGUUUUAAGGAUGUGUCCCUCUCUCUGUUGGUUCUUUCAGGGUCCCUCCUCCAGGCCCCAACACUUAGGAUACAGCUCCUCUGCAGCUUCUCCCCUGCAGUGCCCACCCCAAGUCACCCAUUUCUCAAUCCCCACCCCCCCAGCCCGCCUUUCCCAGCAUGCACUCGGGUGGGGGGAGGGGCCGGUCGGAGUUGGGCUGCGCAGGCGCCAGCGCAGUGGGGGAGGGCGGAGGCGGUGCGCAUGCGUACUGGGCUCCUCUGGCUCACGCCAUGCACAGGCUCAGCGAUCCUCCUGCUGGCUCUGGGCGCCUCACGGGCAGAUCCUUCCCCCGGUGCCAUCCCGGGAGCGUGGCUCCUGCGCAGGUGGCUUGGAGGAGGCCGCGGGACACAGCCGGACAGGAAAAGGGGCCAGUGGCUCCCUGGAGAGGCGGGGUGCCUGGCCAUUCCUUCUUAACUCUCUGAGCUAACCAGGGAUCCACCAGAUCUUUUCCAGAAAAAGGUUAUUGAUGCGUGCAAAACAAGACCAGCACUGGGGCAGAGGCCAGCUUUGAGCCUUUCCCAGCCUGUCCGCAGGCCUCCUCCGAGCCAUAAUUAACUAUACUCAGCUGGUGUUAAAUGACACCACAGCUGAUCUCUCUCCUAAAUAAAAAGCAGUGGUACUUGGAGCUCUGAGACGGGUAAACUGGCACAAGGUGGACUGCCUGAGCCCCUCCUGGACCAUGCUUCAAAUGCAGUGAAAAAGAACAUUGGGCCAGAGAGUGCCCCAUCCUGGGUUCCUGUGGGGCCUUGCCCCAGGGCCACUGGAAGAGCCACUGUCCUGGCCACCAGAGGGCGGUAAGCCAUCCUCCAACUCCUUCCCCGCAUAGGAGACUCCAUCACGGCCAGGUUCAUCGCUGACAGAUCUGCUCAGACUUGCUGCUGAAGACUGAUGGGGCUCGGGGCCCGCGGCCCCCAUUAAGGUGUCCUUCUCAGGGCCCCAAGUCCCACUGGAAGGCUCAGGUGAGACAUUCUGUACUUGUGGACAUAGAGCCAUGUGUAGGGUUCUUCCUGAGCGUUCAGGCUGCUAUAUUAACUCUUUAGUCUCUAUAGGGAGUGUUGAUGGCCAAUCUGUGCAGCCUGUACAGACAGAGCCUAUUCCAUGCAGGUUCCAGACUCACUGCUUCUCUGGUCAAUCCCAUAGUUUGAGAUACCUCCAGUCCCACCUGUACUGCCCGUGCCAUGCCUAUUCUAAUUCGUCUUGGGGAAUCCUUCAAUUUCUCCUUGUGUUCCCCAAUAUCCCAUGGCUUCCAAACAUUUACAGGGACUUAAAUUUUACACACAUGCCCUGCCACAAAACUCUCAAAAAUCUUCUCAGCUUUGUUUGUACUUUUUCAGGAUAAAUAAAAGCCUUUCCCACAACCA